rnacentral:rRNA from 1 species
UGCCGCUGGCGGCAGGCCUAACACAUGCAAGUCGAGCGGCAGCGGGUCCUUCGGGAUGCCUGCGAGCGGCGGACGGGUGAGUAAUGCCUAGGAAUCUGCCUGGUAGUGGGGGAUAACUCGGGGAAACUCGAGCUAAUACCGCAUACGUCCUACGGGAGAAAGCGGGGGAUCUUCGGACCUCGCGCUACCAGAUGAGCCUAGGUCGGAUUAGCUAGUUGGCGAGGUAAAGGCUCACCAAGGCGACGAUCCGUAACUGGUCUGAGAGGAUGAUCAGUCACACUGGAACUGAGACACGGUCCAGACUCCUACGGGAGGCAGCAGUGGGGAAUAUUGGACAAUGGGCGAAAGCCUGAUCCAGCCAUGCCGCGUGUGUGAAGAAGGUCUUCGGAUUGUAAAGCACUUUAAGUUGGGAGGAAGGGCAGUAAGUUAAUACCUUACUGUUUUGACGUUACCGACAGAAUAAGCACCGGCUAACUUCGUGCCAGCAGCCGCGGUAAUACGAAGGGUGCAAGCGUUAAUCGGAAUUACUGGGCGUAAAGCGCGCGUAGGUGGUUUGAUAAGUUGGAUGUGAAAGCCCCCGGGCUCAACCUGGGAAUUGCAUCCAAAACUGUCUGACUAGAGUAUGGCAGAGGGUGGUGGAAUUUCCUGUGUAGCGGUGAAAUGCCUAAAUAUAGGAAGGAACCCCCAGUGGCGAAGGCACCCGCCUGGGCUAAUACUGAC